GCUUGCUUUGGCCACACAUAUACUAAAAUUGGAAUGAUACAGAAAAGAUUUGUAUGGUCCCUGAGCAAUGAUAACAAACAUUUAUGAAGUUUUCCAUAUUGUU